GAUGCCGAUUUACAGACGGCCAUUCCUUUCAUGUCUUCUCGCUGGAUCUGAAGAAGAUGAUUUACUAGCCUAUACUUCCCCCAACCCCUCCGUAGAAUGGUUUGAUCCAGGUUAUUCCAAUACAUGGUACAUGAAGGAUGAGGAUAAUGAUGGGCGAGACGACUAUUGCAGAUGUAUUGGUAGUGUGCCCUCUACGUUGGUUGUCUGUAUGAAA